rnacentral:rRNA from 1 species
GAUGAACGCUAGCUACAGGCUUAACACAUGCAAGUCGAGGGGAAACGACAUUGAAGCUUGCUUCGAUGGGCGUCGACCGGCGCACGGGUGAGUAACGCGUAUCCAACCUGCCUCUGACUAAGGGAUAACCCGGCGAAAGUCGGUCUAAUACCUUAUGAGGUUUUCUGCAGACAUCUAACGAAAACGAAAGAUUUAUCGGUCAGUGAUGGGGAUGCGUCUGAUUAGCUUGUUGGCGGGGUAACGGCCCACCAAGGCAACGAUCAGUAGGGGUUCUGAGAGGAAGGUCCCCCACAUUGGAACUGAGACACGGUCCAAACUCCUACGGGAGGCAGCAGUGAGGAAUAUUGGUCAAUGGGCGAGAGCCUGAACCAGCCAAGUAGCGUGCAGGAUGACGGCCCUAUGGGUUGUAAACUGCUUUUAUGUGGGGAUAAAGUGAGCUACGUGUAGUUUAUUGCAGGUACCACAUGAAUAAGGACCGGCUAAUUCCGUGCCAGCAGCCGCGGUAAUACGGAAGGUCCAGGCGUUAUCCGGAUUUAUUGGGUUUAAAGGGAGCGUAGGCUGGAGAUUAAGUGUGUUGUGAAAUGUAGACGCUCAACGUCUGAAUUGCAGCGCAUACUGGUUUCCUUGAGUACGCACAACGUUGGCGGAAUUCGUCGUGUAGCGGUGAAAUGCUUAGAUAUGACGAAGAACUCCGAUUGCGAAGGCAGCUGACGGGAGCGCAACUGACGCUUAAGCUCGAAGGUGCGGGUAUCAAACAGG